CAUAUACUCCCUCCGUUUCAAAUUACUUAUCGCAGGUAUGGAUGUAUCUAAUUGUAUUUUAAUUCUAGAUACGUCCAUUUCUACGACGAGUAAUUUGGAACGGAGGGGGUAUUAG
rnacentral:pre_miRNA from 1 species